CAAUAGCGUAUAUUUAAGUUGUUGCAGUUAAAAAGCUCGUAGUUGAAUUUCUGGCGGGCGCGCCGGUCUUCCAAGUGUUGUACUGGGCGCAGUCCGCCAUCCUUGUGGAGAGGGCUCGCAUUGAGUUGCGUGUCGGAUCUGCAUCAUUUACUGUGAAAAAAUUAGAGUGUUUAAAGCAGGCUGUCGCUUGAAUACAUUAGCAUGGAAUAAUAAGAUAGGACUUCGGUCUAUUUUGUUGGUUGCGAACCGAGGUAAUGAUUAAUAGGGAUAGUUGGGGGUAUUCAUAUUUAAUUGUCAGAGGUGAAAUUCUUGGAUUUAUGAAAGAUGAACAACUGCGAAAGCAUUUACCAAGGAUGUUUUCAUUAA
rnacentral:rRNA from 1 species